rnacentral:lncRNA from 1 species
AAAUGUCUUCCAAAGCUGCAGACAAAAGUUCCAGAAAAAUAAAAACCUGAAUCCCCUGAAAUUCAAAAGAAAACCUGAUUAUACACCCAUAUGCAAAACCCGAUGGCACAAAAAAAACAAAAAAUGAGAAGAGAAACAAUUUCAAUAGAAAAUCCAUUUACAAAUCCAUUUCUCAAGAACCACAACACAACCUAACUAAAAAACUCACGGAUUAAAAGUUUCUCCCCAAAAAUCCCAUCUCUGUCAUCAAAUGAAAACUAUGAAAGCAACAACCCAUUUAAAAUUGAACCCAAAAAAAUUAAAAGCUUCUAACAUCUAAAAUUGAACAGAACACAAUCCAUACAGUUGCAUAAAAAAGUUGGAGAUGCAAGAUUAGAAGAACUCAACACAAAACUAUCCACUUUGAGACCAGCAGAGGCGAAGAGAGGAGAGAGCAAACGGCUACGGAAGAAGAGAAGCAAAAGAAAUAGGAAAAAAAUUGGACCAAAAGCAGUGAAAAGGAAUCACUGCAGAAAGCAGGAAAGAAA